AUUGAACGCUGGCGGCAUGCCUUACACAUGCAAGUCGAACGGUAACAGGUCUUCGGACGCUGACGAGUGGCGCACGGGUGAGUAAUACAUCGGAACGUGCCCGAUCGUGGGGGAUAACGAGGCGAAAGCUUUGCUAAUACCGCAUACGAUCUACGGAUGAAAGCGGGGGAUCUUCGGACCUCGCGCGGACGGAGCGGCCGAUGGCAGAUUAGGUAGUUGGUGGGAUAAAAGCUUACCAAGCCGACGAUCUGUAGCUGGUCUGAGAGGAUGAUCAGCCACACUGGGACUGAGGCACGGCCCAGACUCCUACGGGAGGCAGCAGUGGGGAAUUUUGGACAAUGGGCGAAAGCCUGAUCCAGCCAUGCCGCGUGCAGGAUGAAGGCCUUCGGGUUGUAAACUGCUUUUGUACGGAACGAAAAGCCUCUUUCUAAUAAAGAGGGGUCAUGACGGUACCGUAAGAAUAAGCACCGGCUAACUACGUG
rnacentral:rRNA from 1 species